GCGGGUGUAACAUAGUGGUAAUGUGCCAGCUUCCCAAGCUGGUUAGGAGGGUUCGAUUCCCUUCACCCGCUCCA
rnacentral:tRNA from 1 species